ACGAACGCUGGCGGCGUGCCUAAUACAUACAAGUUGAGCGCUGAAGGUUGGUACUUGUACCCACUGGAUGAGCAGCGAACGGGUGAGUAACGCGUGGGGAAUCUGCCUUUGAGCGGGGGACAACAUUUGGAAACGAAUGCUAAUACCGCAUAAAAACUUUAAACACAAGUUUUAAGUUUGAAAGAUGCAAUUGCAUCACUCAAAGAUGAUCCCGCGUUGUAUUAGCUAGUUGGUGAGGUAAAGGCUCACCAAGGCGAUGAUACAUAGCCGACCUGAGAGGGUGAUCGGCCACAUUGGGACUGAGACACGGCCCAAACUCCUACGGGAGGCAGCAGUAGGGAAUCUUCGGCAAUGGACGAAAGUCUGACCGAGCAACGCCGCGUGAGUGAAGAAGGGUUUCGGAUCGUAAAACUCUGUUGGUAGAGAAGAACGUUGGUGAGAGUGGAAAGCUCAUCAAGUGACGGUAACUACCCAGAAAGGGACGGCUAACUACGUG
rnacentral:rRNA from 1 species